rnacentral:sRNA from 1 species
GAAAGACGCGCAUUUGUUAUCAUCAUCCCUGUUAUAGAGAUGUUAAUUUGGCCACAGUAAUGUGGCCUUUU